rnacentral:rRNA from 1 species
UACGUAGGGUGCGAGCGUUGUCCGGAAUUAUUGGGCGUAAAGAGCUCGUAGGCGGUUUGUCGCGUCUGCUGUGAAAUCCCGAGGCUCAACCCCGGGCCUGCAGCCGAUACGGGCAGACUAGAGUUCGGCAGGGGAGACUGGAAUUCCUGGUGUAGCGGUGGAAUGCGCAGAUAUCAGGAGGAACACCGAUGGCGAAGGCAGGUCUCUGGGCCACUACUGACGCUGAGAAGCGAAAGCGUGGGGAGCGAACAGG